rnacentral:misc_RNA from 1 species
UGAGAAUGGUAUGCCCUUGGAUUCAUCUGAUAAAGAACCAUCAAUAAGAAGGCAGGAUAGCUUUGAGAUGAGACUGCCAGAACUUCCUAAGAUUGACGUUCAAUCUGCAAAUCGGAAGUUGUCCAACAAUUCCGAUCCCGAAUCACCUGUCUCACCACUAUUGACAUCUGAUCCCAAAAAUGAGCGUUCUCACUCACAAACUUUUAGUCGUCCUAACAGUGAGUUUGAUGACUUCCCUAAUACAUCCGAAGAAACAAAGGAUACAGAGAAUCGAGAACCACCAUCCUUCUGGAGACUUGUUGAGCUUAGCCUUGCAGAGUGGCUUUAUGCUCUACUAGGGAGCACGGGCGCUGCAAUAUUUGGUUCCUUUAAUCCCCUCUUGGCCUAUGUCAUUGCAUUGAUUGUAACAGCAUAUUACACAACAGAUGAUAAACAUCACUUACAGCGAGAUGUUGACAGGUGGUGCCUCAUCAUAGCCUGUAUGGGUGUAGUGACUGUAUUUGCCAAUUUUCUGCAGCACUUCUAUUUUGGUAUAAUGGGAGAGAAAAUGACUGAGCGAGUUCGGAGGAUGAUGUUUUCUGCAAUGCUUCGCAAUGAAGUCGGGUGGUUUGAUGAGGAGGAGAAUAGUGCUGAUAAUCUAUCUAUGCGCUUGGCAAAUGAUGCUACAUUUGUGCGUGCUGCUUUCAGUAAUCGCCUGUCCAUAUUCAUACAAGAUACUUCAGCUGUUAUCGUGGCUAUUCUUAUUGGGAUGCUACUUCAAUGGCGGUUGGCACUCGUGGCAUUAGCCACUCUUCCUGUUCUUACCGUGUCUGCUGUUGCACAGAAAUUGUGGCUUGCUG